rnacentral:rRNA from 1 species
GGCCAUACCAUCCUGAACGUGCCCGAUCUCAUCUGAUCUUGUAAGCUAAGCAGGGUUGAGCCUGGUUGGUACUUGGAUGGGAGAAUGUAGGUACU